rnacentral:tRNA from 1 species
GGCCCGGACCACGUACACUCUCACCUCGUUGGCCUUCAGCAGCCGCCGCCGAGCCGGUGCACACCGGGCACCCGGU